AGUUUGCCUUUACAAUUAAUUAUCUCCUUGUACACUAAUUGCCCAGUUGCUAUCUUGCUCUCCACUUAGCAUUCACCUUUCACGAUUUUCUUCUUCACUCCUUCCGUCAUCAUUGGCCCUUCACCAGUAAGCUCUCUUCUGUCGCAAUCCCUAAUGGUUUUCCCUCUCGUAUGAAAUUUGUUUCCCAUGCCCCUGUUCUCUUUCGAAAACCCUAAAAAUUUGAAGAGGCUAAAGCUUUGGCAGCAAUGUAGCAAGAAACUCGCAACGACACUCGUAACGGGUGGAACACUUGAACACUCUGGGCACUGUGCUUUCGAGUCCCGAGCUAAGGGAACUAUUAGUCUCACACAUAUGCUUCGACAACAACCACCCUUGGAUGUGGAAGUUCACGCACCACACUCUCUCUUCGUGCCUCCUCUUCCUCCUUCAAAUGCUCUCUCUUCUGGCUUCCAACGCCAUACCUCACCACUACUCUCACACUCACUCUUUCGCUCUCUUUCUUCCUCUCCUAUCGCAAUACGCGUUCUCCUUUCACCCUACGCUGUCUCUCUCCUGCAACCGCAAGAUUGUGAGUUCUGUGGACUUCGCACUUCGGAAACUAUAAGGUGUGCGAUCUGGAGAUAGGGCACGUGUUUGUGCCAUUCUUUUACGAGAUUGUGAUUUCGCUGCUCGAUUGUAUGCUGAUCGAUUGGGGAAUUCAAGAGACGUUUAGUAAGAAAUCGAGUGAUCUAUUCAGGUUCUUGGGCACUUUUUUGUCCUCCUAUGCCCUCCUACAUUAGUUAUUAAUGCAGCCAAUCAGGCAGCUAAAGCUGCAAGAUUCAUUUAUAAUUCUACGAAUGGAAAUGGUGAAUCUGGCACUAGAAUUCAUGUUAAUGCCAAUACAAAAGGAGGUGGGAACUUGAGACAUCUUAGAGUGGAGGCUUGCAUAGCUAGGAAUUUAAUGGAUACAUCAUUAUACUUCUGUUCUGGAUGGUGGCAAUUUCUCGAUCAGAAGUUCUGAAACAAAUUCAUCUGGUAGAAGAAUAUUCUUUGCUUUGAUAUCUUCGAGAAACUUGUGGUAUUCAUUGAUUUGAGUUUUUAUGUCCUUGUCUUCAAUCAUCUCCCAACGGUAGUAGUUUCCUAUGACGAAUCUUUGUCUGACAAACAUCUUCGACAGUGUAUUUGAGAAUUAAUGAGUCCUAAAUGUCUUUUGCUUCCUUUUGUAGGAACAAUACACAUCCAACAAAUCAUUAGAAAAUGCAAUAAGCAAAGUGUAUCGACAUACCUUGUUCGCGUAAGUCCACUCUUCAACUAGUUUUGAGUUUGUAGGAAUACUAGGGUCAGGCCUCGGAGAUGAAAGAACAGUAGCAACUCCAUACAUGUUUAUAAGGAUGGACACAUGUUCUUGCCAGCGUCGGAAGUUCUGUCCAGAUAAAACCUCAACUUUUGACACGUCCGGAAGUGAUUUUGCAAAGACCGUCUGAAUUCCGGAAAUAAUGGUUUGGCUCUCCGAAAUCAUGUUGUUGAUGUCAGCUAUAAGUCUUAAGAUUGUUGUAAAAAAGUUGACAGAAUCACGAACAAUAUUUCCUAAGGCAUGUAGUUGCACUAUCUUUAAAUACUUAUCAGUGUAUUGCA